UAAGCAGAGGAACCCCAUCAAACUUGGAUUUUGUAAGUAGUUGCGAAUGAACACAAACUUGAUCACUUUGGCAAUCUUUGCACAUCAUUGUGCAACAAUUUGUAUAUGUAGGCACAGUGCUAUCAAAGCUGCAUGCAAGUGAUUUUUGAAAGGAUACAACAUGGGAUGUGAUAUUCAUGUGUGUGUGCCUGCUUUGUCCACAGCCUGUGCUGUAUGAAUCACAUUUCUUGCAACUGAAAUGCUAAUUGCAUGGUAAAGUUCAUGUGACAUGACACAAGCUUGAGAUUCAUGAUGUGCAAGUACCAUGAGGGAAAUGUGAAAAGGACUUUGAAAAGAGAAUUAAAGAAAGCCUGCAUUUGCUGACAAUAAAAGCAAGUGUGGAUGUUUAUGUAAUUGUUACUGCAUCAAUCAAUGCUCAUCAUGAUUACUGCAUGCUUUAUAUUACAGCUCAGAACACGAAGUGUGUGUAACAGCUCUGCUUUGAUUUUUCCCACGUGGGAUCAGUUGAAACUUUGUGAGAGCACUCUUCAGUUCCCUCACGUACCCACCAGCUUUGUCCACUCGUGUGUUGGCACACAUGUAAUGAUGAUGUGUUUAUGCAAGAUACUUCUGUGCUCACCAACAUGUGGCGUUACUGGCUA
rnacentral:rRNA from 1 species